CAAUAGCGUAUAUUAAAGCUGUUGCGGUUAAAAAGCUCGUAGUUGGAUUUCUGUCAAGGACAACUGGUCCGCCCUCCGGGUGAGCACAUAGUUUGGUCUUGACAUCUUGCUGGAAGCUGUUGCUACACUUGGCUGUGUGGCGCAGUGUUCAGCACUUUCACUUUGAGGAAAUUGGAGUGUUUCAAGCAGGCACAUGCCUUUGGACACAGUAGCAUGGAAUAAUUAGAUUGGGCUUUUGCUCCAAUUUGUCGGUUUCUGGAGCUGAGGUGAGUAUUAAUGGGGAUUGUUGGGGGCAUCCGAAUUUAGCCGUCAGAGGUGAAAUUCUUGGAUCUGCUAAAGACGGACAACUGCGAAAGCGUUUGCCCAGGAUGUUUUCAUUGA
rnacentral:rRNA from 1 species